rnacentral:rRNA from 1 species
GCAGUCGACGGUGAAGCAGAGCUUGCUCUGUGGAUCAGUGGCGAACGGGUGAGUAACACGUGAGCAAUCUGCCCCUGACUCUGGGAUAAGCGCUGGAAACGGCGUCUAAUACCGGAUACGAGCUGCGACCGCAUGGUCAGUAGCUGGAAAGAAUUUCGGUCAGGGAUGAGCUCGCGGCCUAUCAGCUUGUUGGUGAGGUAAUGGCUCACCAAGGCGUCGACGGGUAGCCGGCCUGAGAGGGUGACCGGCCACACUGGGACUGAGACACGGCCCAGACUCCUACGGGAGGCAGCAGUGGGGAAUAUUGCACAAUGGGCGAAAGCCUGAUGCAGCAACGCCGCGUGAGGGAUGACGGCCUUCGGGUUGUAAACCUCUUUUAGCAGGGAAGAAGCGAAAGUGACGGUACCUGCAGAAAAAGCGCCGGCUAACUACGUGCCAGCAGCCGCGGUAAUACGUAGGGCGCAAGCGUUAUCCGGAAUUAUUGGGCGUAAAGAGCUCGUAGGCGGUCUGUCGCGUCUGCUGUGAAAACCCGAGGCUCAACCUCGGGCCUGCAGUGGGUACGGGCAGACUAGAGUGCGGUAGGGGAGAUUGGAAUUCCUGGUGUAGCGGUGGAAUGCGCAGAUAUCAGGAGGAACACCGAUGGCGAAGGCAAGAUCUCUGGGCCCGUAACUGACGCUGAGGAGCGAAAAGGGUGGGGAGCAAACAGGCUUAGAUACCCUGGUAGUCCACCCCGUAAACGUUGGGAACUAGUUGUGGGGUCCAUUCCACGGAUUCCGUGACGCAGCUAACGCAUUAAGUUCCCCGCCUGGGGAGUACGGCCGCAAGGCUAAAACUCAAAGGAAUUGACGGGGACCCGCACAAGCGGCGGAGCAUGCGGAUUAAUUCGAUGCAACGCGAAGAACCUUACCAAGGCUUGACAUAUAGAGGAAACGUCUGGAAACAGUCGCCCCGCAAGGUCUCUAUACAGGUGGUGCAUGGUUGUCGUCAGCUCGUGUCGUGAGAUGUUGGGUUAAGUCCCGCAACGAGCGCAACCCUCGUUCUAUGUUGCCAGCACGUAAUGGUGGGAACUCAUGGGAUACUGCCGGGGUCAACUCGGAGGAAGGUGGGGAUGACGUCAAAUCAUCAUGCCCCUUAUGUCUUGGGCUUCACGCAUGCUACAAUGGCCGGUACAAAGGGCUGCAAUACCGUGAGGUGGAGCGAAUCCCAAAAAGCCGGUCCCAGUUCGGAUUGAGGUCUGCAACUCGACCUCAUGAAGUCGGAGUCGCUAGUAAUCGCAGAUCAGCAACGCUGCGGUGAAUACGUUCCCGGGUCUUGUACACACCGCCCGUCAAGUCAUGAAAGUCGGUAACACCUGAAGCCGGUGGCCCAAC